CAGUCGCCGCGGGAAAACGGAGGGUGCAAGCGUUAAUCGGAAUUACUGGGCGUAAAGCGUGCGUAGGCGGUUCGUUAAGUCUGUUGUGAAAGCCCCGGGCUCAACCUGGGAAUGGCAAUGGAUACUGGCGAGCUAGAGUGUGUCAGAGGAUGGUGGAAUUCCCGGUGUAGCGGUGAAAUGCGUAGAGAUCGGGAAGAACACCAGUGGCGAAGGCGGCUCACUGGACCGACACUGACGCUGAGGCGCGAAAGCGUGGGGAGCAAACAGGAUUAGAGACCCCAGUAGUCCCUGUCUCUUAUAA
rnacentral:rRNA from 1 species